rnacentral:rRNA from 2 species
UGGGGAAUCUUCCGCAAUGGACGAAAGUCUGACGGAGCAACGCCGCGUGUAUGAUGACGGCCUUCGGGUUGUAAAGUACUGUUGUUAGGGAAGAACGGCUAAUGUGAGAAUAUUGCAUUAGAUUGACGGUACCUAACGAGGAAGCCCCGGCUAACUACGUGCCAGCAGCCGCGGUAAUACGUAGGGGGCAAGCGUUGUCCGGAAUUAUUGGGCGUAAAGGGCGCGUAGGCGGCUAUUUAAGUCUGAUGUGAAAGUGCGGGGCUUAACCCCGUAAAGCAUUGGAUACUGGAUGGCUUGAGGACAGGAGAGGAAAGUGGAAUUCCUAGUGUAGCGGUGAAAUGCGUAGAUAUUAGGAGGAACACCAGUGGCGAAGGCGACUUUCUGGACUGUAACUGACGCUGAUGCGCGAAAGCGUGGGGAGCGAACAGG